GGACCCGCACAAGUAGUGGAGCAUGUGGUUUAAUUCGAAGAUACGCGCAGAACCUUACCAACACUUGACAUGUUCGUCGCGACUUUAAGAGAUUAAAGUUUUCGGUUCGGCCGGACGAAACACAGGUGCUGCAUGGCUGUCGUCAGCUCGUGUCGUGAGAUGUUGGGUUAAGUCCCGCAACGAGCGCAACCCUCACUUUUAGUUGCCAUCAUUAAGUUGGGCACUCUGAAAGAACUGCCAGUGAUAAGCUGGAGGAAGGUGGGGAUGACGUCAAGUCCUCAUGGCCCUUACGUGUUGGGCUACACACGUGCUACAAUGGCAUCUACAACAGGAAGCAAAACGGCAACGUUAAGAACAAUCCCGAAAAGAUGCCUCAGUUCGGAUUGCACUCUGCAACUCGAGUGCAUGAAGCUGGAAUUACUAGUAAUCG
rnacentral:rRNA from 1 species